rnacentral:rRNA from 1 species
GACGAACGCUGGCGGCGUGCCUAAUACAUGCAAGUAGAACGCUGAAGAGAGGAGCUUGCUCUUCUUGGAUGAGUUGCGAACGGGUGAGUAACGCGUAGGUAACCUGCCUUGUAGCGGGGGAUAACUAUUGGAAACGAUAGCUAAUACCGCAUAACAAUGGAUGACACAUGUCAUUUAUUUGAAAGGGGCAAUUGCUCCACUACAAGAUGGACCUGCGUUGUAUUGGCUAGUAGGUGAGGUGACGGCUCACCUAGGCGACGAUACAUAGCCGACCUGAGAGGGUGAUCGGCCACACUGGGACUGAGACACGGCCCAGACUCCUACGGGAGGCAGCAGUAGGGAAUCUUCGGCAAUGGGGGCAACCCUGACCGAGCAACGCCGCGUGAGUGAAGAAGGUUUUCGGAUCGUAAAGCUCUGUUGUAAGUCAAGAACGAGUGUGAGAGUGGAAAGUUCACACUGUGACGGUAGCUUACCAGAAAGGGACGGCUAACUACGUG